GCCCUUGUAGCUCAGUUGGUAGAGCAAUUGAUUUGUAAUCAAUAGGUCCGCGGUUCGAAUCCGUGCGGGGGCA
rnacentral:tRNA from 1 species